rnacentral:rRNA from 1 species
UACGUAGGGGGCUAGCGUUGUCCGGAAUCAUUGGGCGUAAAGAGCGUGUAGGCGGUCCGGUAAGUCCGCUGUGAAAGUCGGGGGCUCAACCCUCGAAUGCCGGUGGAUACUGUCGGGCUAGAGUGCAGAAGAGGCGAGUGGAAUUCCUGGUGUAGCGGUGAAAUGCGCAGAUAUCAGGAGGAACACCUAUUGCGAAGGCAGCUCGCUGGGACGUAACUGACGCUGAGACGCGAAAGCGUGGGGAGCAAACAGG